GCUGUAGCUCAGUGGUGGAGCACCUGUCUCACAUGCAGAAGGUCCCAGGUUCAAUCCCCAAGGACAUCUCCA